UACAGAGGGGGCAAGCGUUGUUCGGAAUUACUGGGCGUAAAGGGCGCGUAGGCGGCCUCUUAAGUCGAACGUGAAAUCCCCGGGCUCAACCCGGGAACUGCGUCCGAUACUGGGGGGCUAGAGUGCGGAAGAGGCGAGUGGAAUUCCUGGUGUAGCGGUGAAAUGCGCAGAUAUCAGGAAGAACACCAAUGGCGAAGGCAGCUCUCUGGGACGGUACUGACGCUGAGACGCGAAAGCGUGGGGAGCGAACAGG
rnacentral:rRNA from 1 species